rnacentral:rRNA from 1 species
GACGAACGCUGGCGGCGUGCCUAAUACAUGCAAGUUGAGCGCUGAAGGUUGGUACUUGUACCAACUGGAUGAGCAGCGAACGGGUGAGUAACGCGUGGGGAAUCUGCCUUUGAGCGGGGGACAACAUUUGGAAACGAAUGCUAAUACCGCAUAAAAACUUUAAACACAAGUUUUAAGUUUGAAAGAUGCAAUUGCAUCACUCAAAGAUGAUCCCGCGUUGUAUUAGCUAGUUGGUGAGGUAAAGGCUCACCAAGGCGAUGAUACAUAGCCGACCUGAGAGGGUGAUCGGCCACAUUGGGACUGAGACACGGCCCAAACUCCUACGGGAGGCAGCAGUAGGGAAUCUUCGGCAAUGGAUGAAAGUCUGACCGAGCAACGCCGCGUGAGUGAAGAAGGUUUUCGGAUCGUAAAACUCUGUUGGUAGAGAAGAACGUUGGUGAGAGUGGAAAGCUCAUCAAGUGACGGUAACUACCCAGAAAGGGACGGCUAACUACGUG